rnacentral:rRNA from 1 species
UAGGGAAUCUUCCGCAAUGGACGAAAGUCUGACGGAGCAACGCCGCGUGAGUGAAGAAGGAUUUCGGUUCGUAAAACUCUGUUGUUAGGGAAGAAAAAAUGUAUAGUAACUAUAUACAAAAGAGACGGUACCUAACCAGAAAGCCACGGCUAACUACGUGCCAGCAGCCGCGGUAAUACGUAGGUGGCAAGCGUUGUCCGGAAUUAUUGGGCGUAAAGCGCACGCAGGUGGUUUAGAAAGUCUGAUGUGAAAGCCCACGGCUCAACCGUGGAGGGUCAUUGGAAACUAAUAAACUUGAGUGCAGGAGAGAAAAGUGGAAUUCCUAGUGUAGCGGUGAAAUGCGUAGAGAUUAGGAGGAACACCGGUGGCGAAAGCGGCUUUUUGGCCUGCAACUGACACUGAGGCGCGAAAGCGUGGGGAGCAAACAGG